UGUUAGCCAGGCUGGUCUCGAACUCCUGACCUCAGGUGAUCCACGCACCUAGGCCUCCCAAAAUGUUGGGAUUAUAGGUGUGAGCCACCAUGCCUGGCCGGGAGCAGCAUUCUUAAGGAAUUCAAGACACAGGAAGAACACUUGCCUUUAGUGGGAGCAAGACAACGCAGUGUGGCAGAAGACAAAGAAUGGGGGCACAAGUGCAAGGUGAAUUGGAGGUAGAAUAUAGGACUUAACUUUCUGACGGCUUCUGUUUUCUCAGUGAAGUCUGAGGCAAGGCCGGUGACUUAAACAAAGAAGGGGUAGUGGAUAAUUUCAGGAAAGAUGGACACUUCACCUUGAGCAACAGGACAAGGAACUGAGUAACUGGGAAACAAGGUAGUUUCAAUGCUGGGCAUUGUUGAAUCCCUUGCCGUGGCUUGGGGCCAUGAAUUUAAGGUGAAACCAGUCAGCUGAGUUAGUUGUGUGAUUUUUUUUUUUCUCCUAGCAACAUUCAGCUGUUAUGAGGGCAGCGAAGAGCAGGCAGGUGAUCAGUUCACCCAAAAUUCGUGUUUUGCCCUGCAGGUUUGACAGAGGAGAAGCAGUGCCAGAGGCUUGAGAGUAGUUGCAAGGGGGUGAUUUUGAUGAUGAACCUUGAAAUGUUAGCUGAGUAGGAAAGCAAGAGAAGAAUCAGAGUGGGGGCCAUGAAAAUCAUUACUGGCUUAAAGAGUAACUCUAUAGAGAAAUAAAGGGUUUUCCCAAUCCUGGAAAAAAAUGGUUAAAAUUGUAAAUCUUACAUAUAUUUUACCAUAGUAAAAAAUGAAUUAGGCUGGGCCCAUGGCUCACACCUACAAUCCCAGCACUUUGGGAGGCUGAGGCAGGCAAAUCGUUUGAGGCCAGGAGUUCAAAACCAGCCUGGCCAACAUGGCAAAACUCAUCUCUACUAAAAAUACAAAGAAAAUAGCCAGGCAUGGUGGCACACACCUGUAAUCCCAGCUACUCAGGAGGCUGAGGCAUGAGAAUUGCUUGAACCUGGAAGGCAGACAUUGGAGUGAGCUGAGAUCUUCCCACUGCACUCCAGCCUGGGUGACAUAGCUAGACUGUCUCAAAAAAAAAAAAAAAAAGAAUGAACACUUAAAUAUUUGUGGCAGAUAGAGGUGUUAUUUGCAUAUGGAAGAAAAUUGCUUUAGAAAUGAAAUUUCAGAUUACUGAAACUAAAGAGAAAGUAUCUCUUCUUAUCAUGGUACCAAGCUUGAGGGUGCAUAAGUCACCUAUAGACGAAAUAAGCAUUGAGUUUCAUUUUUUGUUUGUUUUUGAGACAGGUUCUCACUGUUACCCAGCCUGGAGUGCAGUGGUACAAUUGUAGCUCACUGCAGCCUGGACCUCCUGGGAUCAAGGGAUUCCCCCAACCUCAGCCUCCCAAGUAGCUGGGACUAUAGAAAUGCAACACCAUGCCCAGAUAAUUUAAUUUUUUUUUUUUUUUUUUUUUUUUUGUAGAGACAGGGGUUUCUCUUUGUCACCCAGGCUGGCCUCAAACUCCUGGGCUCAAGCAGUCUUCCCACCUUUCCCUCCCAAAGUGCUGGGAUUACAGGCGUGAGCCACUGCAUCCUGCCGAGAAAAUCAUUUUUUAUUUAAAUAAUGUCAAAUGGAAGUAUGUAGCACCCCCCCCCCACCUUCUUUUCCCCUUUCUUUCCUCUUUGAGUCUGCUGUCAUUCCCUUUUUCAUGAGUUUUCUCUGCUCCCCAAAUAGGCUAAACAAUAACCGUAAAGUGAGAUUAGAGAAAAUAAGAAUGGAGUAGAUGAUGGAAUUCAAAAUAGCUGUCUACAUUCUUCACUGAGAAAGAUAGCUUUGAGUUAAAGGUGAGAGGAGCAAAUCUGGGGAAAAACGGGUGAAACGGCAUGAUUUAAGUAGCAUACCAGAUGCGUUUCUGCAUGGCAUGGCUCUUGCUUGAUGAAUAAUGUUCUGUAUAGUAGAAGAGGAAAAUACAGUGAGUGAAGGAGCUGGCAGAAGGUGGGCUGGGGGAGUUGGGGAAGAGUGAAAUGAGUAUGGAGAGGUGAGAGAGCUGACUGCAAAGGCAUGUGGGGUGUGGAUUUUAAAAGGAAAGCCCUGAGGUGGAAAUCACUAACAUGGUGCCUGGCUACAAGCAGAGGGAGCUCAGGACUUGACUGUGCUGGGGGUGGCCUGCCCUUUUGUAGUGCAGUUGAGGAGAGCUCAGGGGCUGUCAGAAUGCUGUGUGGGAAGGUGGAGGAUGAAAGAGGACCUGGGAGCAGCAACUUUGUUCUGGUUUGUUGUUUUCUCUUCCCUACCUCGUAUGUACUCCCACUCAGGAAAAGAUCCUGAGACCUCUCUGUACCAGAUCCUCUUAUACCCAGGUUCUCCUUAAUCCCAAUCAACUUUAAUCUAUAAAGUUACGAUUUGUUUACUUAUAAAUUUAUUUUUAAUAAAGUUGUGAAACCGA
rnacentral:lncRNA from 1 species